rnacentral:miRNA from 1 species
AGGGACCACCAACAGUCCAGGUUUUGUCAGUAUCUCCAUUGGAAUAAAACAGAGAAAUACAUAAAUCCUGGAUUGUUGGUGGUCCCUGAGGAUU